CCCCAGUAACGGCGAGUGAAGCGGCCACGGCUCAAAUUUGGAAUCCGGCCGCCGCGCGGCCCGAGUUGUAAUUUGCAGAGGGUGCCCCGGGGGCGCACGCCGGUCCAAGUCCCUUGGAACGGGGCGUCACGGAGGGUGAGAAUCCCGUACGCGGCCGGGGCGGUGCGUCCCCAGACGGGGCCCUUUCGACGAGUCGAGUUGUUUGGGAAUGCAGCUCCAAAUGGGUGGUAAAUUCCAUCUAAAGCUAAAUACCCGCCAGAGACCGAUAGCGCACAAGUAGAGUGAUCGAAAGAUGAAAAGCACUUUGGAAAGAGAGUUAAACAGCACGUGAAAUUGUUGAAAGGGAAGCGCUUGCGACCAGACUCGCCCGCGAGCGACCAGCCGCCCCCCGGGGCGGUGCACGCGCUCGCGGCCGGGUCAGCAUCGGUUCGGGCGGUCGGACAAAGGCCCGGGGAACGUGACUCCCCCGGGAGUGUUAUAGCCCCGGGUGCAAUGCGGCCCGCCCGGACCGAGGACCGCGCUCGG
rnacentral:rRNA from 1 species